rnacentral:rRNA from 1 species
GUAGGUGGCAAGCGUUGUCCGGAAUUAUUGGGCGUAAAGCGCGCGCAGGUGGUUCUUUAAGUCUGAUGUGAAAGCCCCCGGCUCAACCGGGGGAGGGUCAUUGGAAACUGGGGAACUUGAGUGCAGGAGAGGAAAGUGGAAUUCCACGUGUAGCGGUGAAAUGCGUAGAUAUGUGGAGGAACACCAGUGGCGAAGGCGACUUUCUGGCCUGUAACUGACACUGAGGCGCGAAAGCGUGGGGAGCAAACAGGGAUUAGAUACCCUGGUAGUCCACGCCGUAAACGAUGAGUGCUAAGUGUUGGGGGGGUUUCCGCCCCCUCAGUGCUGCAGCUAACGCAUUAAGCACUCCGCCCUGGGAGUACGGUCGCAAGACUG